rnacentral:misc_RNA from 1 species
GAUGAAGAACGUAGCGAAAUGCGAUAAGUAGUGUGAAUUGCAGAAUUAAGUGAAUCAUCGAAUCUUUGAACGCACAUUGCGCCCAUUGGUAUUCCAAUGGGCAUGCCUGUUCGAGCGUCAUUUGUACCCUCAAGCUUUGCUUGGUGUUGGGCGUUUGUCUUUCGAGACUCGCCUUAAAAAGAUUGGCAGCCGGCAUACUGGUUUCGGAGCGCAGCACAAAUUGCGGUCUGUUCCUGAAUGUUGACGUCCAUGAAGCCCCCAUUAUCACUUUUGACCUCGGAUCAGGUAGGGAUACCCGCUGAACUUAAGCAUAUCAAUAAGCGGAGGA